GAUGAAGAACGUAGCGAAAUGCGAUACGUAAUGUGAAUUGCAAAUUCAGUGAAUCAUCGAGUCUUUGAACGCACAUUGCGCCCCCUGGUAUUCCGGGGGGCAUGCCUGUCCGAGCGUCAUUGCUGCCCUCAAGCACGGCUUGUGUGUUGGGCCCCGUCCUCCGAUCCCGGGGGACGGGCCCGAAAGGCAGCGGCGGCACCGCGUCCGGUCCUCGAGCGUAUGGGGCUUUGUCACCCGCUCUGUAGGCCCGGCCGGCGCUUGCCGAUCAACCCAAAUUUUUAUCCAGGUUGACCUUGGAUCAGGUAGGGAUACCCGCUGAACUUAAGCAUAUCAAUAAGCGGAGGA
rnacentral:misc_RNA from 1 species